rnacentral:rRNA from 1 species
UACGAAGGGGGCUAGCGUUGCUCGGAAUUACUGGGCGUAAAGCGCACGUAGGCGGCUUUCUAAGUCGGGGGUGAAAUCCUGGAGCUCAACUCCAGAACUGCCUUCGAUACUGGAAAGCUCGAGUCCGGGAGAGGUGAGUGGAACUGCGAGUGUAGAGGUGAAAUUCGUAGAUAUUCGCAAGAACACCAGUAGCGAAGGCGGCUCACUGGCCCGGUACUGACGCUGAGGUGCGAAAGCGUGGGGAGCAAACAGG